AGGAGUGCUCUGCUGUGAGAACUGAAUUCCAUAGAUGGUGACAUUUGUAUGUGUCAUCUAUGGGCUCAGUUCUUUUGGCUUGGUACUGUUUU
rnacentral:pre_miRNA from 1 species